GUGGUCUCGCGGGCGGGUGACGUCAUCGAGGCGAGAGAGGCGGGGCUGCGGACGGUGGGCGGGAGGCUGCCAACGGUUUUGAGUGCAGAGCGCGGCGGGAGAGGGGGUGUUGGCUUUUCCGGACCCGGGCUCAGCGGGGCUGAGGUGUGGGGGGUAGUCAGGGUAGUCGGGGUAGAGGAUCUCAGGUUAGGCUUGAGGGCGGCAUGCUUUUUAAGGAAGUCUGAGGUCGUGACGGAUGGUUUACAAGGUUUCUUUUGGGGUGAUUGGGAGGAAGAGUUUCUAGGGAUCCUUGCUAUGGCUUUCUUGCCUGGAGGGGUGGGAGGGGAUGAACAAGGGAGUUAGUUGACCUUGGGUAGAACACGGAAAGUGGGCAAGCGUGAGGUUCCUGCCUGUCUUGAGACUGGAGCCAGUUGAGGGACAAGUUAGGCAGGUGGACAGAAAUUGGGUCCCUGUUAGAUUUGAGUCCGUUUCAGUUUGGACAUUUUGGGUGUGGGAAUUUAGGAGUUCAGAUGACCAGAGACAGCCUGUGCCGAAAUUGAUCUGCAGCUUCCAGCUCUCUUAGUUGGGAAGGAGAACUGCGGUGGUACUGUUGCCCCAUAGUAGGGUUUCUGUCCUCACCCACCUCUGCGCUGCACCGUCUUUUAACACGGUUCCAAGAAGCUGGGCAAAGGGAUGCUUUUGCACUCUCCCAUGGCCUCUGGAACUGGUGGAAACCUUUCCUCUAACCGGAAAUCCUUAAUACCCGCAAUUCAUCAAGGACUCGUGCCGUGGAGUCUUCCUCCCUACUCCCAAAUCUUCCUUCUUGAACUUUUCAUUCUGCACUUUCCUAAACUUCCAGCUUUCUGCUGUCUCCAGUUGCCUCUGCCCUGCACUCAUGGCAACAUCUGCUGCCAGCCCCAGUUCACCUCUCAGGGCAGAGGACCUCCUGAGUGAUUCAUCAGAACCCCCUGGGCUGAACCAAGUGUCCUCUGAGGUUACCUCCCAGCUUUAUGCUUCUUUGCGCCUCAGCCGUCAAGCAGAGGCCACAGCCCGAGCCCAGCUGUAUUUACCCUCCACUUCCCUGCCUCCUCAUGAUGUAUUAGACGGCUUAGCACAGGAGCUGAGUCAAAGCUUGUCAGUCGGAUUGGAGAACAACUUGAAGAAAAAGGAUGGUUCUAAACAUAUCUUUGAGAUGGAAAGUGUUCGGGGUCAACUCCAGACCAUGCUCCAAACCUCACGAGAUGCAUCCUAUCGGGAUCCCCUCAUUCCAGGUGCUGGCUCAGAGAAACGGGAAGAAGAUUCCUUUGACAGUGACAGCACAGCCACCUUGCUUAACACCCGGCCCCUGCAAGACUUAUCUCCAUCUAGUUCAGCCCAAGCCCUGGAAGAGUUGUUUCCACGCUACACCAGCCUUCGGCCAGGGCCCCCACUCAAUCCUCCAGAUUUUCAGGGGCUGAGAGAUGCACUGGAUUCAGAGCAUACCCGCCGCAAGCAUUGUGAGCGCCAUAUUCAGAGCCUGCAGACCCGAGUGCUAGAGCUGCAGCAACAAUUAGCCGUGGCUGUGGCUGCUGACCGCAAGAAAGAUAUCAUGAUUGAACAACUGGAUAAGACGCUGGCCCGUGUUGUGGAGGGCUGGAACCGGCAUGAGGCUGAGCGGACAGAGGUGCUUCGAGGACUUCAAGAGGAACGCCAGGUGGCAGAACUCACCAGAAGCAAGCAGCAGGAGACAGUAACCCGCCUGGAACAAAGUCUUUCUGAGGCUAUGGAGGCCCUGAAUCGUGAGCAGGAAAGUACCAGACUGCAGCAACGGGAAAGAGAGACACUGGAAGAGGAAAGACAAGCCCUAACCCUGAGCUUGGAGGUAGAACAGCAGCAGUGCCGUGUUCUACAGGAAGAACGGGAUGCAGCUUGGGCUGGGCAACGCAAUGAACAUCGAGAGCUGGAGACUCUUCAGGCUGCCCUAGUAGAAGAACGGCAGAACUGGAUACAGCAAGAGCGCCAGCUUAAGGAACGCUACCAGACACUGCAGGAGGAAGGCCAGGCUCAGUUGGAAAGGGAGAAGGUGAACAGCCAGAGGGAGGCCCAGGCAGCUCGGGAGGCCCAGCAGCAGUUGGCAUUGGUGCAGUCUGAGGUGCGGCGGUUGGAAGGAGAGCUGGAUACAGCCCGGCGAGAGAGAGAUGCCCUGCAGCUGGAAAUGAGCCUGGUGCAGGCCCGAUAUGAAAGCCAGCGGAUCCAGAUAGAGUCAGAGCUAGCUGUUCAGCUGGAGCAGCAGGUGACAGAGCGACUGGCACAGGCUCAAGAGAGCAGCCUACGGCAAGCAGCCUCCCUGAGGGAGCAUCACAGGAAGCAGCUGCAGGACCUAAAUGGACAGCACCAGCAGGAAUUGGCCAGUCAGUUGGCACAGUUCAAGGUGGAGAUGGCAGAACAAGAGGAACGGCAGCAGCAGGUGUCUCAGGACUAUGAGCUCAGACUGGCUCGGGAGCAAGCACGAGUACGGGAACUACAGAUUGGAAACCAGCAGCUGGAGGAACAGCGGGUAGAGCUGGUAGAACGACUCCAUGCCAUGCUGCAGACCCACUGGGAUGAGACAAACCAAUUGCUUAGCACCGCUCUUCCACCUCCUAACCCUCCGCUUCCUCCUGCUGACUCUUCUAUCCCUGGGUCUCAGGAGCCAGAGAAGGGGGACAGGACUGUCUGGCCUAUGCCUCCUGUGGCUGUAGCCCUGAAGCCUGUAGUGCAGCAGAGCCGGGAAGCAAGGGAUGAGCUACCUGCAGUGCCCCCUGUUCUCUGCAACUCCUCCCCAGAUCUUAGCCUCCUGCUCGGUCCCCCUUUCCAGAGCCAGCAUUCCUUCCAGCCCCUGGAGUCUAAACCAGAUCUCACUCCAUCCACAGCUGGGACCUUCUCUGCACUUGGGGCCUUCUAUCCCGGUCACAGGGCAGAACGGCCUUUCCCCGAGGAAGAUCCUGGAUCUGAUGGGGAGGGCUUCCUAAAGCAAGGGCUGCCACCUGCUCAGCUGGAGGGCCUCAAGCAUUUUUUGCACCAGCUACUGGAGACAGUACCCCAGAACAAUGAGAACCCCUCUGUUGACCUGUUGCCCCCGAAGUCUGGUCCUCUGGCUGUCCCAUCUUGGGAGGAGGCCCCUCAAGUGCCACGUCUUCCACCCCCUGUUCAUAAAACUAAAGUUCCCUUAGCCAUGGCAUCUAGUCUCUUCCGGGUUCAUGAGCUUCCCUCCUCACAUUCACAAGGCAGUGGUCGUAGUGGUGGCUCCCCAGAGAGAGGUGAUGAGGGGCUUCCAUCCCCAAGUCAGCUGAUGGAGGUGUCUCAACUGUUACGACUCUACCAGGCUCGGGGCUGGGGGGCUCUGCCUGCUGAGGAUUUGCUGCUCUACCUGAAGAGGCUGGAACACAGCAGGUACAAGCUGGAAGAAUUUGGAGGAUGAAGUCUGGAUUAUGGAAAAUGGAUCAGGCGGGGAGGAUGAAGUCUGGAUUAUGGGAAAUGGAUCAGGACUGAUGGCCAAGGGGAUAAUGUCCCCAGGAAGAACACAGAUUGUCGCUUGGGUGAGAUCCCCCGGAAAGAGAUUCCCUCCCAGGCUGUCCCUCGCCGCCUUGCUACAACCCCUAAGACUGAAAAACCUCCAGCACGGAAGAAAAGUGGGCACACUGCCCCUAGUGGCAUGAGGAGUCGGGGGGGCGUUUGGAGAUGAGUCCCUUGCCCUUUCUCUUCUUCUUUGUUCUUUUCUUUCUAUCCCUUGAAUAAAUGCUGAAUAAUCUG